rnacentral:misc_RNA from 1 species
GAUGAAGAACGCAGCGAAAUGCGAUAAGUAAUGUGAAUUGCAGAAUUCAGUGAAUCAUCGAAUCUUUGAACGCACAUUGCGCCCCCUGGUAUUCCGGGGGGCAUGCCUGUCCGAGUGUCAUUACAACCCUCAAGCUCAGCUUGGUGUUGGGCCCCGCCGCCCCGGCGGGCCCUAAAGUCAGUGGCGGUGCCGUCCGGCUCCGAGCGUAGUAAUUCUUCUCGCUCUGGAGGUCCGGUCGUGUGCUCGCCAGCAACCCCCAAUUUUUUUCAGGUUGACCUCGGAUCAGGUAGGGAUACCCGCUGAACUUAAGCAUAUCAAUAAGCGGAGGA